rnacentral:rRNA from 1 species
UCUAAGUAUAAACGUUCUAAACGUGAAACCGCGAAUGGCUCAUUAAAACAGCUAUAAUUCACUUGAUCUUGACACAAUCCUACUUGGAUAACUGUGGUAAUUCUAGAGCUAAUACAUGCAUUAAAGCUCUGACCUCACGGAAAGAGUGCAUUUAUUAGAACAAAACCAAGCGGCUUCGGCUCUUUUCGGUUGACUCAUAGUAACUGAGCUGAUCGCAUGGUCUUGCACCGGCGACGUGUCUUUCAAGUAUCUGCCGUAUCAACUUUCGACUGGUAGUGUAUCUGACUACCAUGGUGAUCACGCGUAACGGAGAAUAAGGGUUCGACUCCGGAGAGUUCGCCUGAGAAAUCGCGAACACAUCUAAGGAAGGCACCAGGCGCGAAAACUACCCACUCUCAGCACGAGGAGGUAGUGACGAAAAAUAACGAGACCGUUCUCUUUCGAGGCCGGUCAUCGGAAUGGGUACAAUUUAAA